UACGGAGGGUGCAAGCGUUAUCCGGAUUCACUGGGUUUAAAGGGCGCGUAGGCGGCCACCGCAAGUCGAUUGUGAAAUCUCCGGGCUUAACCCGGAAAGGUCAACCGAUACUGCGGGGCUAGAGUGCAGAAGGGGCAACUGGAAUUCUCGGUGUAGCGGUGAAAUGCGCAGAUAUCAGGAAGAACACCAAUGGCGAAGGCAGCUCUCUGGGACGGUACUGACACUGAGACGCGAAAGCGUGGGGAGCGAACAGG
rnacentral:rRNA from 1 species